rnacentral:lncRNA from 1 species
GAUUGGGGGCUGGGAGGUAACUAAGAAAGUAAGCCAUGGAGGAGUGCUGCUUGUUGGCUUUGUCUUGCUCAGCCUGUAGCACCCGGGAACACAAGCCCAGGGCUGUCUCCACAAACCGUGGACAAAGCCUCCCACAUCACCACUGAGAUAAAUGCCUUACAGGCCUGCCAACAGCUGAUGCUAUGGAGGCAAUUUUCUUUCUUUUUUUUUUUCUUUAAAAAAAGUAGGUUUUUUUAUUUGUUUUUUUAAAAGAUAUUUAUUUAUUUUAUGUAUGUGAGUACUCUGUCACUUUUUUUUUCAGGCACACCAGAAGAGGGCAUCAGAUCCCAUUACAGAUGGUUGUGAGCCACCAUGUGGUUACUGGGAAUUGAACACAGAACCUCUGGAAGAGCCGUUAGUGCUCUUAACCGCUGAGCCAUUUCUUCACCCUGGAGGCAAUUUUUCAACUGAGGUUUCAUUCCCUUAGAUGAGUAUAGAUUGUGUAGACUUGACAUAAAAUUAGCUAGCAUAGACCCUUGGAAAUGGGAGUUACAGUCAGUUUUCAGCUCACUAUGUGGGAGCUUGGUAUUGAACCUGGUAUCUCUGGAAGAGCAGUCAUUGCUCUUAACUGCAGAGCUAUUGCUCCAAGCUCCAUUUUUUUUAAAUUAAAUUUAAAAUAAAAUAUAACUACUAAUUACUUCACUUUAUCCCUCCCCAGUUGUCCUUACAAUACCUCCCAUGUACCCUGUCUUGCUUUGUACAUGAACUGUAGUCACACACAUGCACACACACAUGCACACACACAUGUGCACAUGCCUAAAUAUGUCAAUACAACCUGCUCAGUCUGUUUAGAGCUACUUGUAUAUAGGAUUUCAGGACUGGACAGUUAGGGAGAUUAUCGCAAGGGAAAAAAAUCAACCCUCCUAAUGCUGUGACCCUUUAAUACAGUUCCUCAUGUGAUGAGCCUCAACCAUAAAAUUAUUUUCAUUGCUACUUUAUAACUGUAACUGUUAGUUAUGAAUCAUAAAUAUCUAAUAUGCAAGAUAUCUAACAUGUGACUCCUUUGAAAAUGUUGUUCUAUUCCACAAAGGAACUGUGACCCACAGGUUGAGAACUACUGCCUAAGUUGCUUGAACUUCUCUGUCUAUAGGUGAGACACUGUUAGCGAGUCUUACCGGUGAUGUACUUCUUCAGGUCUUGUCUAGGCAGUCAUAUUGCUGAGGCAUCAUGGGUGUUUUCCUGUCAUUUCCGGAAGAUACACUCUCACAGCUGAUUUCUGGGUACCCUGGGCCUUACAAUUUAUCUGCCCCCUCUUCCUUAGGUACAAUUCAUUUAAAAAUGUUAUUGUGAAUGACUUUCCUAAUUUCUGUCACAGCAUAUUGUUAGUCUAUAAAAAGCUACUCGUUUUUGUAUAGAAAUAUUUUAAUCCUGCCACUUUGCUGAGAGUACUCAGCAGAACUGCUUUCUGGUGGAGUCUAGUUAAGAGUCUUUCACGUAGGAUCAUGUCAUCUGUAAAUUCUGAUUUUUUUCCUUUUUAUUUACCACCAUGAUUAAAAGAAAAAAUUAAUCAAAUAAGAGUGGAGAGAGUGUACCCAUAUCUUCUCCUUGAUUUAAUACCUUCAUCUUAUUCCAUCGUUGCAAGAGAUUUGUCACUUAUAACUUUAUUAUAUCAAGGCAUGCUCCUUCCAGGGGUAGUUAGAAUCUCCAGGCACUGGAGAAGAUGAUGAAUCUUGUCAAAGUUUUUAUCUUUAUCUCUUGGUAAUACCGUGUGACCGUUAUUUGUUCUUGAUUCUAUUUACAUGCACACUAAAUUUAUUGAUUUGCUCAUAUUGGCUUUUUCUUUCAUCAUUGGAAUGAAAUUAAGUCAGUGAUCUGGUGGUCUUAGAACUUGUUCCAUAGAUCAAACUGGCCUUGAACUCACAGAUCUGCCUGCCUGGAAGAUCUGAAUGUUGAGAUUAUGGGAAUGUUCCACCAUGCUCUGUUCUUUGCUGAUUUUUCAAAAACGGACUUUUAGUUUAGUGCAUACAUUGUGUGUGUGUGUGUGUGUGUGUAACAUGGCAUAUAUUGGAGGGUGUCAUAAGUGACUUUUGGAAGUAGGUUCUUCUACCAUAUGGAUUCUAGGGAUCAAACCUAGGUCAUCAGGUUUGACAGAAAGUACCUUUGACAGGGCUCUCCUGUAGGCUUAUAUUUUUUCAAAAACCUACUUUAAUAAGGGCUCUUAAUUGCUUUAACCUCCCUUUUUGCCCACCAACCGAAGGUAGGGGAGGAAGAUGGCUAAUAGGACAAGGGGGAUGUGGACCUGUGUAGAGUAGUUCCUUGGAGGCAAUUUCAAGCUUCAUUGUCUGCAGUCCAGGCCACUAACAAAACACCAAACAUGAAUCAGCAGAGUGCCUCUGUCCAGAAGAAACCACAAGGCUCUGCUUAUUGGCAUGAGUCCAUCAAAGUGGCAAGAAGCAGCUAGAACACCACCAGAAGUUCUGUGGUAUGUUUCUCUCUAUGAAGUUAAGACAAGUGAAGUCCAGAGAAGAAAGCAAGGAGAAGCAAUGCAAGAGUGUUGUAGCGAAGACCAGCACCAGCGAAGCCCAAUAAAGACCAACAACACAAAGCAAUGGCAGAGUGUCAUCCACUAUCUGUUGGGUUAUAUUUAUACUCUUUCCAAAAAUCACAAAUCCUCUCAAGCAUCUGCUCCAACCAAACAUCACAAGCCCUUUCACCAGGCAGUCUCCAGAAAACACCACAUGUCUGUUCUCAGCAAAACAUCCUCUCAUGUGACUGCUUCAGCAAAACAUCCUCUCAUAAGACAGUUUCC